rnacentral:lncRNA from 1 species
UUUCCCCCAGGUAACCAUUCUGUGCAUUUCAGUCUGUCGUUAAUAAUCAUAAGAUAAUACAACAGGAAGAGGAACAUUACAGUAUAUUGUAGUUUUUACCAAUGCAUUUAUCACUGAUUGGUUUAGGCUACAAACACCAACAUAAACCCCCAGAGCAGUGAAGCAGUAUUUUUGAGUCUAAAAGGUUUUGUCAAUAUUUUGAAUGUAGUCUUCUGAUUUACAGAUUGAUAUGGGACCAGACCAGUCCUCUUCAGGAUUGUGAGACCUCCACUCUGAGAGUUAUAAUGAAUUAUCAUCAGGUGGCUAAGGGUGGAGCCAUCCCUAAAGAAAGACAUAAGGAUCUUGAUGAGACCAUGGACCCUGAUAUGAAGAGGUGGGUGUGUCCAAUAGCAUGUGUAACAAUUCUCAUGAUGUCUGUUUCCAUUGCAGUUAUCAGGAUGACAGUUGAUUAUAUAGUAAUUACUGGCAUUAUAAGCAAGGUUUAGUAAUAGAUUACAUUUAAAUUUUGUAGGUUUCAUUUUCAGCUGUAUACAGUCUCCAGUGAUAAAAUGGUGGAACUCAGUUUCCCCCCAUUUAACCGCUUCAGUAUGCCUAAACACUUCAGUAUUUCAUUUCCAUCAAACUAGUACCCUGUGUUCCCCAUAUCACUAUCAGGAAGUUCUCAGAAGCUAAAGCUUAAUUCUACUCUGUUCACAGUGUCCAUGUGCAUAAAACAGACUUUUCUACACCCAGCUGUGAGUCCACUAGAACACUGGAGAGUGACGGAGAACUAAGGGUCCAUAUGGAGAGACCAGAGUCACCAGCCCCCAGUUACCUAUCAAUGAAGUCUCACCAAUCUAUGGAAACACCUAAUUCUUUCAAGGAAGGAGACUUUACUCAAAAAGAGGGCAUCCGACCAGGAGAGGUGGUCUGUGAUGUAUGUGAGGUCAAAGCUGUGAAGUCCUGUCAGACCUGCACUCAGUCCUACUGUGAGACCCACGUUAGGAAGCACUACACACUACCUAAACUACAGAGACACACCCUGGUGGAUGUGACUGGAGACCUGUUCAGAGACACCCUGUAUAGAGGAGAUGCCCUGUAUAGAGGAGACCCCCUGUAUAGAGGAGACCCCCUGUAUAGAGGAGACCCCCUGGAUAGAGGAGAUGCCCUGUAUAGAGGAGACGCCGUGCAUAGAGGAGACCCCCUGUAUAGAGGAGACUCCCUGUAUAGAGGAGAUUCCCUGUAUAGAGGAGACUCCCUGUAUAGAGGAGAAUCCCUGUAUAGAGGAGACCCCCAGUAUAGAGGAGACCCCCUGUAUAGAGGAGACACCCUGUAUAGAGGAGACUCCCUGUAUAAAGAAGACCUGCAGCAGAGACUCUGCCAGGAACACCACAGAGCUCUGGAGGUGUUCUGCCGGACAGACCAGGAGCUGAUCUGCAGUCUGUGUGCAGUAACAGAACACAAAGGACAUGAUGUAGUCUAUGAGGAGAUAAAACAAGCAGGAAGACAGGUACGUUUUGUUCUCUUGAAAUAUGCUGAUCUCGUGUUGUCACA